rnacentral:lncRNA from 1 species
GUAAAUAUGUAGAGGGAGUAUAGGGCUGUGAUUAGUAUUUUGAGUUUGCUAGGCAGAAUAGUAAUGAGGAUGUAAGUCCGUGGGCGACUAUGAGAAUGACUGCGCCGGUGAAGCUUCAGGGGGGGUAGGGGGAGGGAGCCUACUAGGGUGUAGAAUAGGAAGUAUGUACCUGCGUUCAGGCGUUCUGGUUGGUUGCCUCAUCGGGUGAUGAUAGCCAGGGUGGGGAUAAGUGUGGUUUCGAAGAAGAUAUAAAAUAUGAUUAGUUCUAUGGCUGUGAAUGUCAUAAUUAAGGAGAUUUGUAGGGAGAUUAGUAUAGAGAGGUAGAGUUUUUUUCGUGAUAGUGGUUCAUUGGAUAAGUGGCGUUGGCUUGCCAUGAUUGUGAGGGGCAGGAGUCAGGUAGUUAGUAUUAGGAGGGGGGUCGUUAGGGGGUCGGAGGAGAAGGAUAAGGAGCAGCUAAAUAGGUUGUUGUUGAUUUGGUUGAAAAAUAGUAGGGGGAUGGUGCUAAUAAUUAGGCUGUGAGUGGUUGUGUUGAUUCAAAUUAUGUGUUUUUUGGAGAGUCAUGUCAGUGGUAGUAAUAUAAUUGUUGGGACAAUUAGUUUUAGCAUUGGAGUAGGCUUAGGUUAUGUACGUAGUCUAGGCCAUACGUGUUGGAGAUUGAGACUAGUAGGGCC